rnacentral:rRNA from 1 species
AUUGAACGUUGGCGGCAUGCCUUACACAUGCAAGUCGAACGGUAACAGGUCUUCGGAUGCUGACGAGUGGCGAACGGGUGAGUAAUACAUCGGAACGUGCCUAGUAGUGGGGGAUAACUACUCGAAAGAGUGGCUAAUACCGCAUGAGAUCUACGGAUGAAAGCAGGGGAUCGCAAGACCUUGUGCUACUAGAGCGGCCGAUGGCAGAUUAGGUAGUUGGUGGGAUAAAAGCUUACCAAGCCGACGAUCUGUAGCUGGUCUGAGAGGACGAUCAGCCACACUGGGACUGAGACACGGCCCAGACUCCUACGGGAGGCAGCAGUGGGGAAUUUUGGACAAUGGGCGCAAGCCUGAUCCAGCAAUGCCGCGUGCAGGAUGAAGGCCUUCGGGUUGUAAACUGCUUUUGUACGGAACGAAAAGCCCUGGGUUAAUACCCUGGGGUCAUGACGGUACCGUAAGAAUAAGCACCGGCUAACUACGUG